rnacentral:rRNA from 1 species
UCUUGUACUCACCGCCCGUCAACUCAAGGGAGAUGGGAGUACCCGAAGCGUCACCUCGGUGGCACCACGGUAAGCUCAUUGACAGGGAGU